rfam:Hanseniaspora uvarum DSM 2768 Contig_61, whole genome shotgun sequence.
ACCUUGUUAGCUCAGUUGGUAGAGCGUUUGACUCUUAAUCAAAAUGUCAAGGGUUCGAGCCCCUUAUGAGGUA